AGAGCGAACGCUGGCGGCAGGCCUAACACAUGCAAGUCGAACGGACUCUUCGGAGUUAGUGGCGGACGGGUGAGUAACACGUGGGAACGUGCCUUUAGGUUCGGAAUAGCUCCUGGAAACGGGUGGUAAUGCCGAAUGUGCCCUUCGGGGGAAAGAUUUAUCGCCUUUAGAGCGGCCCGCGUCUGAUUAGCUAGUUGGUGAGGUAAAGGCUCACCAAGGCUACGAUCAGUAGCUGGUCUGAGAGGAUGACCAGCCACAUUGGGACUGAGACACGGCCCAAACUCCUACGGGAGCAGCAGGUGGGAAUCGUGCGCAAGUGGGACGAAGCCUGACGC
rnacentral:rRNA from 1 species